rnacentral:lncRNA from 1 species
AUGGUGUCUCACCUUCUUCAUCCCAGUCAUCCCUUUAGUAAUGCAGAUGUAAGGAGGGAUUUUCAUAGGAGUAACAAUCGGGAGGCUGUGUCCCGCCCUCUUCGGCCCCAGGUCCUCGGGCUGACCCCGCCCCGCCCCCAGCCUUCCGCCGUCUCCGGCCCGGGCCCUCUCGGCCGCGCCCUCCCCUGCUGGUGCCGCUGCCGCCAUCACAGCGCCAGAAAGGUCCCAGACGGACAGCUUCGGAGACCAGGCCUACCGUUGCCGUUCGCUUCGUUUGGUGAGGUCGCUCGGCAAGGCUGUUGGGCACGGCCGUCCUGGCCCAGCCAUCGCCGGCAGUGAGCUAACGGAGCGCACGCGGCUGGACCUCGGUGUCCUCGGAGGACUGGGCCGUGUUUCUCGGCCCUCGGCAGCUGUGCGGGACCGGCCGGUUCCGCUGCUGUCGCCUGCCUGCUUGGUCCCGUCAGUCCGGGCGUCUCGGACUCGGUGCUUAUUUUUUUCUUGAAGUAUUUUGGAUCUCUGUUGUUAGUAUAUAUCCAUUUAUAAUUUGUAUGUCUUUGUGAUCAGUUGACUCUAUUCUCAUAAAUAUUGAAUAACAACCCAGCUAUCCCUCUGCUA